rnacentral:rRNA from 1 species
AGGCUCAAUUUCCUUGGAACAGGAGGUCAUGGAGGGUGAGAACCCCGUACAUGGCUUGGGCGCCGCCGUCCUUGUGACGCAUCCUCUAAGAGUCGGGUUGUUUGGGAAUGCAGCUCAAAAUGGGUGGUAAAUUUCAUCUAAAGCUAAAUAUGGGCGAGAGACCGAUAGCAAACAAGUAGAGUGAUCGAAAGAUGAAAAGUACUUUGAAAAAAGAGUGAAACAGUACGUGAAAUUGUUGAAAGGGAAGCGUUUGGCAUCAGCCCAUGGCGGUGGUACGAACAUCCUUGCUUCGGCAUGGUGCACUCGUCCACCGUUGGGCCAGCGUCGGCUCUGCCUGCCAGAGAAAGGCCUUGGGGAAGUGGCUCUCCCUUCGGGGAGCGUGUUAUAACCCAUGGUGUCAUGUGGCUUUGGCGGGGCCGAGGUCCGCGGUUUUGUCCUAGGACGCUGGCGUAAUGGUUCCAGGCGACCCGUCUUGAAACACGGACCAAGGAGUCUAACAUCUAUGCGAGUGUUUGGGUGUCAAGCCCGACCGCGCAAUGAAAGUGAAUGC